GAUGAACGCUGGCGGCGUGCCUAAUACAUGCAAGCCGAGCGAAUGGAUUAAGAGCUUGCUCUUAUGAAGUUAGCGGCGGACGGGUGAGUAACACGUGGGUAACCUGCCCAUAAGACUGGGAUAACUCCGGGAAACCGGGGCUAAUACCGGAUAACAUUUUGAACCGCAUGGUUCGAAAUUGAAAGGCGGCUUCGGCUGUCACUUAUGGAUGGACCCGCGUCGCAUUAGCUAGUUGGUGGGGUAACGGCUAACCAAGGCAACGAUGCGUAGCCGACCUGAGAGGGUGAUCGGCCACACUGGGACUGAGACACGGCCCAGACUCCUACGGGAGGCAGCAGUAGGGAAUCUUCCGCAAUGGACGAGAGUCUGACGGAGCAACGCCGCGUGAGUGAUGAAGGCUUUCGGGUCGUAAAACUCUGUUGUUAGGGAAGAACAAGUGCUAGUUGAAUAAGCUGGCACCUUGACGGUACCUAACCAGAAAGCCACGGCUAACUACGUGCCAGCAGCCGCCGUAA
rnacentral:rRNA from 1 species